AUAACAAUAAUAAUAAUAAUAAUAUUUGGAAAGGGGUUAAUGAAAAGGUAAAGAGACAUAUUGUAUAUUCUUUAUGUUUGGGAAUAGAUGAAAAAGGGGUUAGAUUUGAGGUGUGUGAAAAAUAACAUAAUUUACGGCUUUUACCUCCCCUUCAAAAUUUAGAUUUGAGGGUUAAGAGAGGAUAAGAUUUACCUUUAUUUACCUUAUCAACUCACUUUCUAAACAAUGAUACAUAAGUUACUUAUCUCUCUUUACCUUUAUUUACCCCGCUCUCCUACACCUUUACGCAUUGUUAUUCUGGUUGACAAUGUAGCCUGACUUGUGGUACUUACUUUAUGAUUUGUUAUUAUUCUUUUAGUCUAGUAUUCCCCCCACAACAAAAAAUGGGAGUUGGUGGGGGAGAAUGCUGCAUGAAUGUGCUGUUUUUGUUGAUUCAUACUUCUAUUUUUCACUUUUUCUGUUUUAAAAUUUUUAAUUUGCAUUACAGAUGAAGAUGAUGAUUAGUGCCUACUCGUUGAUGGACUUUGGCAUCUUCAGCCACUGAACAAUAAUUUCAAGUACUGUAUACGUUUGGGAUUUUUUCGAUAAGUUGCUCUGCUUGUAAGGUUAUUAGAACUUUUCCUUUUCCGAGUUGGCUGAAGUGUUUCACCUUGGAUAGUAAUUUGAAGCGAUUGGAUGGUUUUCUUUGCUUAAAUAAUUGUGUAGCAAUCAUAUCAGUAUCUCACAUUGUAAGUUCUACCUGAUCAUGCUUUCAAAUAAUUUUUCAAGGUUUUUUACUGGAGCAACUAAUCAAAUGUUAGAACAGUCCACUUCGAAAUGAGUUAAAUAUUUG
rnacentral:misc_RNA from 1 species